CUCCUCUCCUCUCCUCUCAGCCUCUCGGCCUUCUCAGGCUCUCACUAUCUUAAGUCUCAACUCACUGGUCUCUACUCUCUAUCUUCUCAGAACUCAGAAAUCUCUUCGGACUCGCCCCAGAUCACAGUCUCUAUCUUCUCAGAUCAAGUCUCAACUCACUGAUUCGUGGAUUCGGUCGGAUCGGUCUCUGUCUUCUCAGAUCGUCGGCUUCCGGUCUCAGUUUGGGUUAGCAUCGGGCCUUAACAUUUAGCAAGAACAAGGUGUAAGAAACAUGUCUCCUCAGUCAUCAGGUCUAUUGUCUGAAAGAAGAGAGUUGAUGGGAAUGGGUGGAGUCGGCAAAAAGAAAACAGGAAAAUAAGUUGAUUUUAAGGACCGAGUUUGUGCAACUGGCGGUACAGUAGUUGGGUUAAUGAAUGAUGCGAGGGAGGCUGAAAAGGAGAAGAUAUCUUCAAUUCUGUCUUCAAAGUGGUUUCAUAUAGUUGAUACGGAAACCCCUCUGAUUGAAUCUAUAGAAGCUGUGGGGCCGCGUGAAUUAAAGAAAGGCCGUAUUAGAGCGUACUGCAAUGGCGGGUACAACCACGAGACUGACAUAGAUAGCAUUGAGAUUUUAAAGUCAUUUCAGACUGUGGCAACGUUGUGGAUUCGUUGAGGCCGAUUCCUAAGCGAAGGACCAGAGUUUCCCAGGGGCCUGAUCAAAGGGCAUAGCUACCAAGGAGAAGAAUUUUCCUGAUGGGUUUUGUUUGAUGAAGUGUUGAUCCACUUCCACAGGCUUGGUGCGAUCGUGUUGGAUUGGGUUGUGAGAUAUGUCGAUGGCAGCCUUGUUAUCACAGAAUACAUUUAUUACCGAACCAGGAGGAAAACCAACUUCAGUUAGCAAAGUUCUAAGCCACAGAAGCUCGCACAAUCAUUUUGCCAUGCCUCAGAACUUAGCUUCAGCACUGGACAAUGCCAUUACCUUCUGUUUUUUGCUCCUCCAUGUAACUAAGUUGCCUCCCACGAAUAUAAAGUACCCCGAGGUAGACUUUCUAUCCAAGAUGUUCCCUACCCAGUCCACAUCCGUGUACCCUUCAAUAUUCAGAUGGUCAUUCUUGGAGAACAUUAGUCAUUUUCCUGGUGAUGACUUCAGAUAACGAAGGAUUCGAAUUACUGCACCAUAUGGUCUUCACUAGGACAAUGCAUAAAUUGGCUUACUACACUCACGGCGUAAGCGAUGUCUGGGCGAGUGUGUAGGUAGAUGAGCUUCCCCACUAGUCUUUGAUACCUCACUUUAUCAGCCGGUACCUGGUUCGAGUAUUCCCCAAGCCUAUGGUUCUGCGCAAUCGGGGUAUCCACUGGUUUGCACUCUAGUAAUCCUACCUCCGUCAAUAAAUCCAGUACAUACUUCCAUUGAGAAAGAAAUAUGCCCCUUUUUGACCUUGCCACCUCUAUUCCCAGAAAAUACUUGAGCCCUCCCAAGUUCUUCAUUUUAAACUCAUUAGACAAUUGCCCUUGUAGCCUAGAGAUCUCUUCGGCAUCAUCCCCCGUAAUUAUCAUAGCUUCCACAUAGACGAUCAAAGCUAUCACUUUGCCUUGUUGGUGUUUCAAGAAGAAAGUAUGAUCAGAAUUACUUUGGUGAUAACCAUACUUCCUCAUAGCUGAACUGAAUCGGCUAAACCACGCCUGAGGUGACUGUUUUAGUCCAUACAAUGCCCUCUCCAAUUUACACACAAUUUUGGUCUCGAAAGAUCUUGUAUAUCCCGGUGGAAUGUCUAUGUAUACUUCCUCGUCAAGGUCACCGUGAAGAAAGGCGUUCUUCACGUCCAGUUGAUGUAGUGGCCAGUCCAAGUUGGCUGCAAGAGACAACAAGACUUUAACUAUAUUCAGUUUGGCUACUGGUGAAAAGGUUUCCGAGUAGUCGACGCCAUACGUUUGAGUAAAACCCUUCGCGACGAGCCUUGCCUUGUAUCUGUCGAUGGAUCUAUCAGCCUUAUAUUUUAUAGAGAACACCCAUUUGCUUCCUACUGUCUUCUUUCUUUCCGGUAAUGAGACUAACUUCCAUGUGUUAUUUUUCUAUAAGGCUUCCAGUUCUUCUUCCAUUGCUUGUGCCCACUUUGGAUCGGACAAAGCCUUCUUAACGCUGCUGGGAAUAUGGCAAGAGGAUAGUGCUUGAGUGAAAGUCUUAAGAGGCUUGGACAGGCUUUGAGUAAACACAUAAUUUGCAAUUGGGUACUUGGUCCUUCUUUCUUCCUCAUCUGGGGUGUAUCUAUUUGGUGGUUUCCCACGGUUGUGUCUGAAAGGCAAGACAUAACUAGCAGAAGAAUCUAGGACAUUAGCAUGUAAAUGUGCAAUGGGGGUACUUACCUCAGGAACAUUCUCAUGAGGAGGAGGGUCUUCGGGUAGUGAGGAGUGAGGGGACUCUGUAUUUUCAGGUUCUCUAUUUUCGGCCUCUUCAUGUACAGGUUCUUCAUUUUCGGGCAUUGCACAUGUUAAUUCUGCAUUUUCUGGUGAUGCAUCUUGCGGUUUAACUUUGCUAGUUCCAGUUUCAUGCUCACUCACAGGAGCCAUCAACCACUAAUUCGGUUAUUCCACUUGAGUCUCUCCCUGAAAGGAAGAAUUGGGUACCAGUGAAGAGUAAAAUGUCUCGGACUCAAGAAACGUGACGUCCAUGGUGAUAUAAGUUCGGUUGGUAGUGGGAUCAUAACACCGGAAGCCCUUUUUAUGUAAACCAUAUCCCAAAAAUAAGCACCUAACUACACAUGGAUCCAGUUUGGAGACGGACAAAAACAACACACCCGAAAGUUCUAAGAGGAAACAUCAAUGUAGUAUUCAGGGAGGCGUGGGUAGAGAGGAUUUGUAAGCGAGUUUUAAAAUGGAGAAUUUUAGAUGGCAUACGGUUGAUUAAGUACACGGUAGUAGCCACCGCAUCCCUUCAAUGGCAACUUGGCACCUUUGCUUUAAGGAGUAAUGCUCGGGUAGUUUUCAUAUUGCCCCUUAUGAAAUUACAAGAAACAAUCUCUCUGAUGCUCCCAUCGUUUAAAUACAUAUAAAAAAAACAUUUGAAAA